rnacentral:rRNA from 1 species
UACGAAGCGGGCUAGCGUUGUUCGGAAUCACUGGGCGUAAAGCGCACGCAGGCGGAUCGAUAAGUCGGGGGUGAAAGCCCGCGGCUCAACCUCGGAAUUGCCUUCGAUACUGACGGUCUCGAGUCCGGGAGAGGUGAGUGGAAUUCCCAGUGUAGAGGUGAAAUUCGUAGAUAUUAGGAAGAACACCAGUGGCGAAGGCGGCCCACUGGCCCGGUUCUGACGCUCAGGUGCGAAAGCGUGGGGAGCAAACAGG